UCACAAUUCAGGAUCAAAUGAAAAGAUCAUUAACAGGGAAGUAAUGGCUUGAAUAAAAUUCAUAAAUUGAAUCAUUUAUAUGUUGACACUGUUUGGAUGCUUUCAACUGUUUGUUGGUCUGAUUUCUACGUUCACAAACAAAAUGAAAAAGUAAAUUAUUGUCAUUUUUACUCUGACAAGUGACUUUUGUGGAUGUGUAACAGUUAAAAAAGGCACUUUAAUAAUUCUUAUUAACAAUUUGUGUUUGUGAAUUUUAUCUCAACGAGGAAUUUUUAUUCAUUAAUGUUUCCUGUGGAAAUGACCUUGCUGCACAUCGUCCCUUCUGUCCCUCACAGAGCUGUUUUGCAUUGCUGAGGGAGCAGAUGUGCAGGAGAGACCAGAAGGUGAUUCAUAUGUGUUACAUUGUCUUCUGCAGGAGCAAAUAAAGGCUGGAAACCAA